rnacentral:lncRNA from 1 species
GAAGUGCCUCAUCAAAGGAAAUUAGGAUUACUGAUAGUAAUUCAGAGAACACGACUAUCAAAUCAUUGGGCCUCCACCAUUUGAGAUUAUUGGUUAGGUAACCUACUAGUUACCUAGUAUUUAUUGCUAUGCCAGGGGAUAAACAUCAAUUUUACCUUAUAAAUUUUCGUCACAAAUAACUUCUGCACUAUCAUUGACUACUCAGAUAUCUACCCCCAUAUUUCAUUCUUUCAUUACCCAUAU